AUUAUUCUCUAGAUGAUUCUAGGGCUGUUAAUUUCAUCCUUGCAGGAAGUCCUAUUCUCAGAAUGGCUGCUGCUACCACCCAUUGACCGGCCAGAGGCCCCCCCCACCUCAAAACUCUCACAAGCAUGGGGGACAAGCCAGCCUGGCUCCCAGCUCUACCCAACAUGGCUCUUUGAAGCUCACUCCAGGACCUAGGAAAGAGCUCGAGGACUAGGGCACAGGCCGUCUGCACAGCACCUCCUACCUGGUUUUUACCAAUGCCUGGUGCGUGGAAGGAGGGGUCCAAGGACAAAAAGGUGCCAUUUAUGUUUUGCCUCUGGGGGAAAUAUAUUCACCUUGACUCCUCUCCAGGCAUGUGGUUUGUGUUACCUUCGCCAGAAACACAACUGGGGCCUAGUCUGCACUGUGUGUAUAGGAAACUUCACAAAGGUUUACGUAUGGAAAGCAUUUGGGGCUGUGUCAGUCUCGGCUGUGGGGACAGGUUCAGUGCAGCCGGCAGCUCUGCUCUCAUCUGCCAGACUGCAGGGAGAGGCUCUUGCAUCUUUCCACAAGGUGUUUCCAAUAAGAGGGGCACAUUUCCCUCAUUAGAAAUAAAACAAACACAGAUUGA